GACGGAGGGUGCUAGCGUUGUUCGGAAUCAUUGGGCUUAAAGCGUGUGCAGGCGGCGGCGUAAGUGUCGAGUGAAAGCCUGCGGCUCAACCGCAGAACGGCUCGGCAUACUGCGUCGCUUGAGGUCGGUAGAGGUGCCUGGAACUCUAGGUGGAGCGGUGAAAUGCGUAGAUAUCUAGAGGAACGCCUGAGGCGAAAGCGGGGCACUGGGCCGAUUCUGACGCUGAGACACGAAAGCGUGGGGAGCAAACAGG
rnacentral:rRNA from 1 species